AUGCUCUUCGUCAUGCACCACGACGGCCGGUGCUCCCUGAUGGACGCCUUCUCGGGCGCCAUGACCCCCCACCCCGAGCUCGCCGCCCUCCUGCGGUACUACAAGGUCGACCCCCACGACGGGAUGUACAGGAGGAGCAUCGAGAAGGUGGUGGUCUCCGCGCCCUCGGCGGCGCUCCCCGUCAUCGCCGUCCUGACCAGCGACUGCAGAGUCAUCGUCUCGACCCGCCGCCCGGGCGGCGAGGUCAACUCCUGCCUGGAGCUCCUCGGCUUCGAGCUCGGCAAUGGCAGCCCCCGCAAGCCGACCCCGGCCGGAGCCAGGCCCGACGUGGUAGGCGGCGUCCCGCUGAUCGAAGGCAGUCGGGCACACGACUCCCACGACAGUUCUCGGUACAUACGCUACAGGAUUCAGAAAAGAUUUCCCGACAGCGUGGCCCGGCUGUACCUGGUCGAGUCCGACGGCAAGCUGCUGAUGGUGAGGCGAUGGGUGAGAUGGGACGCGCCGGAGAGCAUGGCGAGGCGGCGCGUGAGAUCGGCGGCGGACGGACCGGGUGGUUACAGGCGCAUGGAGCGGACUCAGCGGCUGGACGUGUUCGAGGCGGAGCUGGGAGACGGCAGGCCGCGCGUCGGCCGGUGGAAGAAGGUCUACGGCCUGGGUGGCCGGGCGAUCUUCGUGUGUGCACGGUGCUCCAAGUCUGCCCCCGCCGGCGAUGGAGCUCGAGAAGAUUGUGUCUAUUUCCUGAGACGCCAGUACCUUGGGAGGAAGCCCGGUGAUGGCUCGCUCGGGGACUCCGGCGUGUUCGACAUGAGACGUAAGACGAUCACGGCGUUGCUGCCGGAGUCGUCGGUGCCCGCGCCCCUGCCGGGAUAG
rnacentral:rRNA from 1 species